rnacentral:rRNA from 1 species
AGUGAACGCUGGCGGUAGGCCUAACACAUGCAAGUCGAACGGCAGCACAGUAAGAGCUUGCUCUUACGGGUGGCGAGUGGCGGACGGGUGAGGAAUACAUCGGAAUCUACUUUUUCGUGGGGGAUAACGUAGGGAAACUUACGCUAAUACCGCAUACGACCUACGGGUGAAAGCAGGGGAUCUUCGGACCUUGCGCGAUUGAAUGAGCCGAUGUCGGAUUAGCUAGUUGGCGGGGUAAAGGCCCACCAAGGCGACGAUCCGUAGCUGGUCUGAGAGGAUGAUCAGCCACACUGGAACUGAGAUACGGUCCAGACUCCUACGGGAGGCAGCAGUGGGGAAUAUUGGGCAAUGGGCGCAAGCCUGAUCCAGCCAUACCGCGUGGGUGAAGAAGGCCUUCGGGUUGUAAAGCCCUUUUGUUGGGAAAGAAAAGCAGCAGGUUAAUACCCCGCUGUUCUGACGGUACCCAAAGAAUAAGCACCGGCUAACUUCGUG